UUCAUGCACCUUACACUUCUUAUAUACUUAUCCCAAUAGUGCACGCGCUAACAAAACAGAUCCUAAUUGGUUACGUCCCGUCGUUCACGCGCCUUGUGCUGUCACGCAACUGGCCAGAUGCUCUUGAGCACGCGAAAGGGGCAGAUACAAAGUUCUCAUCACAACUCUUCGGGACUUUCCCGCGCUGGAUUCCACAUUCUUGUAUUCUGCUCCCUUUUAUCUUAUCUCAAGGUCAGGCCUAGCUACAGACAGCAAACCCUGGAUUGUUCACUGCUAUUAUAUCAUGCCUUCAUUCACCAAGCCAUUCUUCCACAAUCCCUCAAGCUGCGUCUCCAAACAAUCUGCUGUUGCUCACAGGCAGAAAUUUUAGGGGCAAAUCUUGUAGUUCAGCAUAAAAGUCAAACCAUACAAGGAGAUGGUGCUUCAAUACGAAUGUAGGACCAAUGGGAUCACUCGAGUCCUUGCAUCCUGUUCCAUACAUUUGGAGUAUGUGUCCCGCUGGCAAAGAGCAAAAUAGGUGAAGGGCAAACCUGUGCAUGAGCAGCAACGAAGGAUGUGUUAAAUGCAGUUUCUCCUAAAUGGACCAUGCCCUGUGCUACAGAUAGUGACAAAAGAAAUGCUGGUUCUCCCAAAUAAUCUCCCAGCCCUUGCUCCACUUUAUCUGGUGGGUGUUUCACUGUUUCUCUCUCCCUCAGCCUCUCCUGCCAUCCGUGUUCUGGUACUACCUGCUGGAGCUCUCCUUCUACUGCUCGCUGGUCUUCACCCUGCCCUUUGAUGUGAAGAGGAAGAGUGCUCUAUAACACCUACUAUUACUCCAUGGAGAUAUUCCAGCCCUUCUUUGGAUACUACUUUGUGAAUGUUCUCCUGAUACCUCUGCAGCUGCUCCACGUCUUCUGGUCCUGCCUAAUUAUUCACAUGCUCUACAAGUUUGUCCUCCAGGGCACGAUGGACAAGGACAUGAGAAGUGGCAUAGAAGAAAGUGAUAAGGAUGAAGAAAGAGAAAAGAUAAGGGAAAAGGAGAAAAACGGGGUCACAUAUUUCAGCAACGUCACAAGCAACGAUUGUAUCCAGAGGAACGGGUCUGAGCCCCUGAAGAACAGAACUCCUCUCACUAAUUGCCACGUCAAGGAAAGAUAGCUGCUGACGUGCGUCUGAUCUGGUCUGGAACGAGUCCAGGGCACCGUCUUUAGAAACAGUUUUGUUUGUUGUGCAGCCAAUCCCCUGGCUCAGCACCCCAGAAGCAGCCCCAGCUCACCCGUCAGAGGCUGCAAACAAGGUUCCCUCCAGAGACGCCAGUGCACUCGUCCCCACAGCCCUGAUCCUAGGAGAGCAGGAGACGCCGAGCUCUCAGGAGGGACAUUUGUGUCUGGAGUAGGGGCUGCUGAGCAUCACCUGAGACCCAGGCCAGCAGCGAGGCUGGGCUGUGGAAGGGUAGAAGAGGACUGCAGUAGGCUGGGGGUGGAUCGCCAUUCCCAGGCUCGGAGGAGGUGUUCUCCCAGGGCUUUGCCUCCCUGAGAGCAUCCCUGUGUCUCCGCAGGUGGGCACCCCUCGGGCACAUCUCCAGGCUGUCCCGCAGCAGCAGGCAGUGUCCUCAGCCCUGGGCUCGCUACAGGAAAGGCGGCUGAGGUUUCCCGCACCCCAGCUCUAUGAGGAUGCAUCCGGCUGU